rnacentral:rRNA from 1 species
AGUCGAGCGGAAACACUUCGGGUGUCGAGCGGCGGACGGCUGAGUAACGCGUAGGAAUGUACCCCAAAGUGAGGGAUAAGCACCGGAAACGGUGUCUAAUACCGCAUAUGAUCUUCGGAUUAAAGCUUUAUGCGCUUUGGGAACAGCCUGCGUCUGAUUAGUUAGUUGGUGAGGUAAAAGCUCACCAAGACAAUGAUCGGUAGCUGGUCUGAGAGGAUGACCAGCCAGACUGGGACUGAGACACGGCCCAGACUCCUACGGGAGGCAGCAGUAGGGAAUUUUCCACAAUGGGCGAAAGCCUGAUGGAGCAACGCCGCGUGCAGGAUGAAGGCUUUCGGGUCGUAAACUGCUUUUAUAUAUGAAGAUUUUGACGGUAAUAUAUGAAUAAGGAUCGGCUAACUCCGUGCCAGCAGCCGCGGUCAUACGGAGGAUCCAAGCGUUAUCCGGAAUUACUGGGCGUAAAGAGUUGCGUAGGCGGUCAAGUAAGCAGAGUGUGAAAUGAUGUGGCUCAACCACAUGCCCAUGCUUUGAACUGCUUUGACUAGAGAAUGGGAGAGGUUACUAGAAUUCCUGGUGUAGGGGUGAAAUCCGUAGAUAUCAGGAGGAAUACCGAUGGCGUAGGCAGGUAACUGGCCCAUUUCUGACGCUCAGG